AACGAACGCUGGCGGCAUGCCUAACACAUGCAAGUCGAACGAGACCUUCGGGUCUAGUGGCGCACGGGUGCGUAACGCGUGGGAACCUGCCCUUAGGUUCGGAAUAACUCCCCGAAAGGGGUGCUAAUACCGGAUAAUGUCUUCGGACCAAAGAUUUAUCGCCUUUGGAUGGGCCCGCGUUGGAUUCGCUAGUUGGUAGGGUAAAAGCCUACCAAGGCGACGAUCCAUAGCUGGUCUGAGAGGAUGAUCAGCCACACUGGGACUGAGACACGGCCCAGACUCCUACGGGAGGCAGCAGUGGGGAAUAUUGGACGAUGGGCGAAAGCCUGAUCCAGCAAUGCCGCGGGAGUGAUGAAGGCCUUAGGGUUGUAAAGCUCUUCUACCCGGGAUGAUAAUGACAGUACCGGGAGAAUAAGCUCCGGCUAACUCCGUG
rnacentral:rRNA from 1 species